CACUAACACUGCGCAGGUGUACCAAUCUUUUAGGGUCUAGUUUUGUAGGAAACUCUCAAGAGAAAUCAAGAUUUUUAGCCAAAAAUAAUGCGAUCUUAGACCCCAUGGGUGUGUCCUGUUUUGCCAAAACUUGAGGCUUAGGUUUAAAGAACGGGGACCUGAAAAGACCCUUUCGGUCCGGAAUGACGUUGAACUAAUCUAGGAGUUCCAAUUAUGCUGUUCAUUGGGUUCGGGUCACUACAGGGAAUUUCGCAAUGCUAACACCCUCAUCAGGUGGUGGAAUGUCGUGGAUGUUAGAAUACUGAAAGGCUAGCCUGUCAGCCCGACCGGGCCGGGUGGCGACAGCGUCUAUAAUGAAACGUGAACCAGCCACGUGUCUCGAUAAAUAUUGAUGCGAUAUAAUUCCUUCCUGCAGGGUUUCGGAACCGUUUCCGGUUCAAAAAUUUGGUUGGCCAUUUUGAGACCACAGACUAAAGGGUGACCGAUAUGGGCAACCCAUCGAUCACGGGUUAACAUGGGACCGAGGUGGGUUCGGACCCCUUUCUUAGAAAACAGACAAAAAUAUCGUGUUAGAAUUGUGCGGAAUUAAAGGCCUCGUUUAAAGUAAGCGCGAAUAGCUCAAGCGAUUGCGAUUGCGUUGUUGGUUAUUAAAUAGGAAAGAAAAACUGGAUGAACAAAAGCUCAAAAUUUGAUUAUGUUUAAAUUUGCAGGAUAAUAGUGCACACAAAUUGAGCGUUUACUUUUUUGCCGUAACGUGACGCCUCCAUUGUUUAAAUUGAGGCUGCCAUUUUUUUAAAUUUUAAUAUCGUCGAUUCAAAAUUUUAAAUAUCUUUGAAAAUUAUAUUAUCGUCUGCUUUUUUAAUUUCUUUAAUUUCUAAAAAUUCAAGGAUUAUUAUAAGUAAGUUAUUUUUUUUUAUUACAUUUUUAUAUAAUGUUACAA